UUCUCUUUGCUUCUAUAUACUUUUAUGCCAUUCAUUUCUAAACCAAUGAAUUUACAAUAUUACCUGUCCAUGUAGCUGUCUCCACUAUUAGACUAUGUGCACUUCAAGGUCAGGCAAAUUUAUGUAUGUAUUUCCCGGAGCUCAUCUUUGCCAAAGUGCAUCAGGAAAACAUUCCUUUUACUUUUUAAAUGUUAUUCAGCUUCCACUACUUGCCUUGCAGUUUACUGAAAUCCUCUUUCUUUACUUUGGUCACAGUUCCUAAACUCAGAUUUAUCUCAAAGUAGAAUGACUCAGAACUAGGAUGCUGAACUGAACUGCUUGCAAACGUAAAAGACAUAUUGGUCUCUUUAUCAGGAACAUCAUUUCAAAGGAUACGGGGAAAAGAGAUGUCACAUGAACACGUCUUAGAAUUUACACUGUAAAUCAAACAAUGUUGCUGCAAAGGCAUGUAAGUUAAUAUAGAAACAAUGGAAGAAUGUAAAGAAAACUCAGAGACAGGGAAGAAAGCCAGGAUAGGCUCCAAGAUCAGCUGGAUGAGAUCACAACAUGUGACCCUCACAGAUGAUAGAUCAAGAAAAUGGGAAGAGCUUCAAAGCCCUGAAACCAUAUAAAGGAGAGUCACCCAACAACUAAAAGCACCCAUCCUAAACUAUUAUGUGAACAAGAAACAAACCUCUAUUAAUAUAUUUGAAUUAUUAAAUAUUUUGAGUCUA
rnacentral:lncRNA from 1 species